GAAAGAGUAUUUCAAACAUUUUUUUUUCACAUAUCUUCAACCCCUUUUCUCUGGUACCAGUCUUUUAUAGACUCUGGUGGUUCACCAAAGUGCCCACACCUGAGCCCACUCUCACUGAGGACACAACCAACCAUCUGCAGAUGUGACCUCCUGAAUACAAACGACUCCUUAGGAGAGAGUCUCUGCCUUUCCCACAAGUAUUCCUAUAAACCAAACCUCUACAAAAAUUAGUUUUGUUGCAAAAGACCAGAGGCUGUAUUUCAAAGGUAUUUAGAAGUCUGAACAUAAAUAUACAUUUAGUGCACUUUCCAAAGAACUUCCCCUCACGUGGUGCAUGAUCACUUGAGCCAUCAGCAAAUGCAAGGACUGAUGUGCAGCUAACUGCUGACAAGUGAUACUAAUGAAAGGUCUUUCAAAGGACUCGGAUGCAGAAGACUCCACUCAAAGAGGAAUGUUAUGCCCAAUGUAUUUGUGUCCAGAAUAAGAUUUCUCUCUUCCAUGUGACUGUCACAGCAAUCAUAACUAAUCUUGACUUGUCCCAUACUAUUCACAACUGGAACUGACCCUGUGUUGAAAUUGUAAAACGUUAAAGUAUAAAUUUUCAAGAAAAAUUAUUUUCUUCUUAUAAUACUUAAUAAUUUACCCCUCCUUAAAGUUCUGUAUUAUUAAACAUUAUUUAUUAAAUCAAA